GACAGAGGUGCCGAGCGUUAGGCGGAAUCACUGGGCUUAAAGCGUGUGUAGGCGGGCGGGCAAGUACCUUGUGAAAUCCCACGGCUCAACCGUGGAACUGCUGGGUAUACUGCUCGUCUUGAGCCAAUCAGGGGCGAGCGGAACAGACGGUGGAGCGGUGAAAUGCGUAGAUAUCGGGAAGAACACCGGUGGCGAAGGCGGCUCACUGGCCCGAAACUGACGCUCAUGCACGACAGCGUGGGGAUCAAACAGG
rnacentral:rRNA from 1 species